rnacentral:sRNA from 1 species
UGCAGGAGGCUGCCUUGUGCCCCGGUUGGCU